GCAUAUCAAUAAGCGGAGGAAAAGAAACUAACAAGGAUUCCCCUAGUAACUGCGAGUGAAGCGGGAAAAGCUCAAAUUUAAAAUCUGGUGGUCUUUGGCCAUCCGAGUUGUAAUCUAGAGAAGUGUUAUCCGCGCUGGACCGUGUACAAGUCCCCUGGAAUGGGGCGUCAUAGAGGGUGAGAAUCCCGUCUUUGACACGGACUACCAGGGCUUUGUGAUGCACUCUCAAAGAGUCGAGUUGUUUGGGAAUGCAGCUCAAAAUGGGUGGUAAAUUCCAUCUAAAGCUAAAUAUUGGCGAGAGACCGAUAGCGAACAAGUACCGUGAGGGAAAGAUGAAAAGAACUUUGGAAAGAGAGUUAAACAGUACGUGAAAUUGUUGAAAGGGAAACGCUUGAAGUCAGUCGCGUCUGCCAGGGAUCAACCUUACUUUUGUGAGGCGUACUUCCUGGUUGAUGGGUCAGCAUCAGUUUUGGUUGCUGGAUAAAGGUCAGAGAAAUGUGGCACCUUCGGGUGUGUUAUAGUCUUUGAUCAGAUACAGUGGCUGGGACUGAGGAACUCAGCGCCGCAAGGCUGUCUUAGGAUGCUGGCAAAAUGGCUUUAAUCGACCCGUCUUGAAACACGGACC
rnacentral:rRNA from 1 species